AAUGAUGCUGGCAAUUUUAAUUAUUUGACUCCUUUAGCACUAUUAUCUUAUGUCUGUGAUAAUCCACAUUCCAUUUCAUUCAUUUUUAGUAUUUUAUCCAGUCCAUGACAAAGCUCAGUCAUGUCAUUAUGCUAUCAGACAUUUCUCUCAGUGUUGAGAUAAACAAGGUCUGCUUUUAGUCUCUAAUACAUGACUUUGUAUGUAAGCCAUUGUAUCUAAUUUGACAGAUGAUGAUGGAAAUGUGUUGCGGCAGAAGAAUCUCAGUGAUUUGGCAUUCAUGGAAGGCAAACGAAUGAUGCUAGCUAAGGAACACACUUUCUUGGAUAACAGAGAUUUACCAUUCUGAAGAACAGGCAAAACAGGUGUAUAUUCUUCAUCAACCUAACUGAAAUGUGAUACAUUUUAAACCCUGUACACAUUUUCAAAUUGAAAUGGAAAUAGCUAUAAGAACUGCUUCUAUGUAGCAUAUCACUUAAUUUAUUUGCCUGAAAUACCAAAUAUGAGUAGUUAUGGACAUUUUCGUACAAGAGGUCUAGACAGGUUUGAUGCUGAAUUUUUUCUGUACAUGCUGAUAACAGUCACAACUAAUAUUAUAACUUAUGCUACUCUGUACAGUAUGUGUUCACAAAUUACAGUAAUGUGUAUUCAAUAUACAUCACUCUCUUCUCCUGAGCACUUGAUAAUUACUGCUUCUUACAAUGCAGAAUACUGUCAGUGUUAUAGGCUGCUGGAACUCAAUGACUGGAGCUUAAUAUUAGGAGGUCAUUGGCAGAAUAUUUGUUCGCUUGAUUUAUUAGUGUAACUGUUGUUAAUUUGAAACCUUUUAGUUAUCUCAGUUUAACUUAAGAAGUAUUUCUGAAAUGUGAUGAUUUUCAUCCCUUAAAUUCAAUAAAGUUUUAUUUAUUACCA